rfam:Glossina austeni unplaced genomic scaffold Scaffold852, whole genome shotgun sequence.
UUUCUGAUAUUUUGCAAAAAUACACAAAAAUACAUUUUGUAAAUGGCCUACAGCAAAUUUGCAAAUUUGACGCACGCUAACUUCGAAAAAUGAAAGUGCAUUUGUUGAAUAACUUGCAACCCACAUAAAAAUAUAAAAGAAUGUGCCACAGCGCUAAAAUUAAUUUUAAAAACACACAUUCAACAUGUCAAGUACGAAUAUUUUAAGAAAUGUGUACGUUGAUAUGCACAUGUCAAACCGUGCAAAUUAAAGAAAGAGUCCGGUAAGUUAGUCCUGAUUUGUGGAGUUCCUCCAUCAACAUUAGACGAUUACAAUAAGACUAUGUAGCUACUACCAAUGGGAUGCUCAACCGUUCAAUGGGGUGCUCAACGACAAAUUACCAAGUCCAUCAGUCAUCGUAGCAGCAGCCUUUUCUUCACUUGAAUUCAGGCCGUCAGUACCUCUAACCUAAUCUUAAUAAAAUACACCUUAUUAUUUUAAUUUUUGCAAGUACAUUUUUAUAUUUAUAACCGAUUUUUUGGUAUUUUUGUUUCAUUAUAUUAUAUGGAUAUAUCCAAACCUUUAUUAUACCAUGUAAAAUAGGAUAUAUAUAUUUUUCUGUGUUUACUAAAAGAAAAGAAUUGAAAGUUCUUGUAAUCGGGUGGCUAUGAAAAUAUAUAUAACUGAUCAUACAAAAAUGAUUAGAGGCAUUAGGGUCGAAACGAUCUUAACUUAUUCUCAAACUUUACAUGGGUAAAAAGCCUGACCUUUCUUGGUGUGAAGGUUGUGGUUGUGAUAUAAUGUACGCAAUGGGACAAUUUUGGUAAGCAGAGCUGCCGCUGGGGGAUGACCCAAACGUAAUGUUACGUGUCCAAAUUAACAACUCAUGCAGAUACCAUGAAAGGCGUCGGUUGCUUAAAACAGCAGGACGGUGGACAUGGAAGUCGCAAUCCACUAAGGAUUUUUAAAAGGAGGGUACAAUAAUGAGCGUAGAAGUGUUUGGCGCAAGCCUGCAUGGAGCCGCUAUUGGUACAGAUCUUGGUGGUAGUAGCAAAUAAUCGAAUGAGACCUUGGAGGACUGAAGUGGAGAAGGGUUUCGUGUGAACAGUGGUUGAUCACGAGUUAGUCGGUCCUAAGUUCAAGGCGAAAGCUGAAAAUUUCCAAGUUUCAUAUUGAGGGUAUGUUUAUAUGUAUAAAUAAUGUAUAAAAUAGUUGAAUAUAAUUAAACGAAAGGGAAUACGGUUCCAAUUCCGUAACCUGUAGAGUAUCCUUUUGUUUAUUAAAUGUGCUCCUCCCGGCAACAGAAACGACCAUAAAGAAGCCGUCGAGAGAUAUCGGAAGCGUUUUCUUUUCUGUUUUAUAGUCGUACUACCAUUCAAAUCUAGUUAGAAGAACAUGACGUUUACUGUUGUGUCAAUAUGUUCUCCUCGAAGCUUGAGAAUCUAUGGUGGGGUCACGCAAACUACUGAACAGGCCGUACCAAUAUCCGCAGCUGGCCAAGGUGAAGAGUCUCUAGUCGAUAGAAUAAUAUAGGUAAGGGAAGUCGGCAAAUUAGAUCUGUAGCUUCUGGACUGGCUCCGAAUAUCGAGAUACUCGGGUUUGAUUGGGUAGCAAUAGUAUGGUUUAUGUACUUGUUCUGGGUAAAUAGAGAUUUUCGGGUUUUGUUCCUCGGAUAUCAUUUACCUAGUCAAUUGUGAAACUUUGUUGCCAAAAUUUUUAAGGGAUUAUCGUAAGAUGUAUUCUUUUUAAAUUAUAGCGAUUAUCAGGUAACAAUCAAUUUAGAACUGGCACGGACUUGGAGAAUCCGACUGUCUAAUUAAAACAAAGCAUUGUGAUGGCCAUAACGGGUGUUCACACAAUGUGAUUUCUGCCCAGUGCUCUGAAUGUCAAAGUGAAGAAAUUCAAGUAAGCGCGGGUAAACGGCGGGAGUAACUAUGAUUCGCUUUUAAAGUGCGGGUCUCAAUAGUGCAGAUGUCCAAGCAGAAAUGUCAAUACGGAGAUCAUAGAUGUGCUUAUUUCUCUCCUCCUCGCGGUUCCCGCCGAGCGCUUGAAACGAAGGGAAGUUCUCUUCUUAGCCAAUCCAAUUGGCGGGAAGACUUUCUGGU